rnacentral:rRNA from 1 species
AUACGUAGGGGGCGAGCGUUGUCCGGAAUGAUUGGGCGUAAAGGGCGCGUAGGCGGCCCGGUAAGUCUGGGGUGAAAGUCCUGUUUUUAAGAUGGGAAUUGCUUUGGAUACUGUCGGGCUUGAGUGCAGGAGAGGUAAGUGGAAUUCCCAGUGUAGCGGUGAAAUGCGUAGAGAUUGGGAGGAACACCAGUGGCGAAGGCGACUUACUGGACUGUAACUGACGCUGAGGCGCGAAAGUGUGGGGAGCAAACAGGAUUAGAUACCCUGGUAGUCCACACUGUAAACGAUGAAUGCUAGGUGUAGGGGGUAUCGACCCCUUCUGUGCCGCAGUCAACACAAUAAGCAUUCCGCCUGGGGAGUACGGCCGCAAGGUUGAAACUUAAAGGAAUUGACGGGG